AGAGUUUGAUCAUGGCUCAGGACGAACGCUGGCGGCGUGCUUAAUGCAUGCAAGUCGCACGAGGCCCCAUGGACGGGUAACCGUCCCGGGGUCCUAGUGGCGAACGGGUGAGUAACACGUGAGGAACCUGCCCCGGAAUCUGGGAUAGCCCAGGGAAACCUGGAUUAAUACCGGAUACCCUCGAUCGGUCGCAUGUCUGGUCGAGGAAAGGUCCGCCGUUCCGGGAUGGCCUCGCGGCCUAUCAGCUUGUUGGCGGGGUAACGGCCCACCAAGGCAACGACGGGUAGCUGGUCUGAGAGGACGAUCAGCCACACUGGGACUGAGACACGGCCCAGACUCCUACGGGAGGCAGCAGCAGGGAAUAUUGCACAAUGGGCGAAAGCCUGAUGCAGCGACGCCGCGUGGGGGAUGAAGGCCUCCGGGUCGUAAACCCCUUUCAGGAGGGAAGAAGCGCAAGUGACGGUACCUCCAGAAGAAGCCCCGGCCAACUACGUGCCAGCAGCCGCGGUAAUACGUAGGGGGCGAGCGUUGUCCGGAUUCAUUGGGCGUAAAGAGCUCGUAGGCGGCUCGGUAAGUCGGCCGUGAAAUCCCGGAGCUCAACUCCGGGAGGCCGGUCGAUACUGUCGUGGCUAGGGUCCGGUAGAGGAGAGCGGAAUUCCCGGUGUAGCGGUGAAAUGCGCAGAUAUCGGGAGGAACACCCGUAGCGAAGGCGGCUCUCUGGGCCGGUACCGACGCUGAGGAGCGAAAGCUAGGGGAGCAAACAGGAUUAGAUACCCUGGUAGUCCUAGCUGUAAACGUUGGGCACUAGGUGUGGCGGAUUGAUUGACGUCUGCCGUGCCGUAGCAAACGCAUUAAGUGCCCCGUCUGGGGAGUACGGUCGCAAGGCUAGAACUCAAAGGAAUUG
rnacentral:rRNA from 1 species